CGGGCAGGUUGUGAUACAGUCUGGAAUAAAACCAGGGUCUGUAGGGACGCCUCUAGCACUGAGAUGCAGUGCCUUAGACCACUGCAUACCACCCCUACCUUGUCACAACACAAAUGAUUGGCUCAAACGUAUUAAGAAGGAAAGAAAUUCCACAAAUUAACAGGCACACCUGUUAAUUGAAAUGCAUUCCAGGUGAUUACCUCAUGAAGCUGGUUGAGAGAAUGCCAAGUGUGUGCAAAUCUGAUUUGUUUAACACUUUUUUGAUGACUACAUGAUUCCAUAUGUGUUAUUUCAUAGUUUUGAUGUCUUCACUAGUUUUCUACAAUGUAGAAAAUAGUAAAAAAUAAAGAAAAACCCUGGAAUAAGUAGGUAUGUCCAAAUUAUUUGAUUUCUUAUUAUUACUUUUAUUGUCCUGCAAUGUUGCGGGGUACAGAUUUUUACUGUACCCCACAUUUACAUCUGCAACCCUGUGACUAUUAAUCUUCUAAUCUACCAGUAUUAAUGGCCAGCAGGCUCAGACAAUAUCAAUAAUGACUAUAGCGAAAGGGGAGGGUCGGUGACUUGUGGGGGAGAAAGAACCAGUGGAGGCAGCAACAGACAGGUAGAAAGUAGCAGGUGCCAGGUGGAUUGGGCCAGGUGUCAGGCUAGGGUGUCCUCAGUCACAGCCCUGGAGCAUCAGGCCCUCCAGAAGGAGAGACAGAGAAAGAGAAAAGAUGAGGAUUAGUGAGAGCAUGCCUAAAACCAUAGUACACCACAUACACUAGGGGUAGUGAAUAAUCAGUAGUGUUGCUGUGGACACUGGAUAAUCUGACUGACACACACCUGUUUGACCUCGCUGUGAUACUGUCGGCCUACUUACAGUGGGGCAAAAAAGUAUUUAGUCAGCCACCAAUUGUGCAAGUUCUCCCACUUAAAAAGAUGAGAGAGGCCUGUAAUUUUCAUCAUAGGUACACUUCAACUAUGACAGACAAAAUGAGGAAAAUAAAUCCAGAAAAUCACAUUGUAGGAUUUUUAAUGAAUUUAUUUGCAAAUUAUGGUGGAAAAUAAGUAUUAAGUGGGAGAACUUGCACAAUUGGUGGCUGACUAAAUACUUUUUGCCCCACUGUAUGUUACUUUUCUGAGUCAAUUCAGGUAGCAUUCAAUGUUCUGCGUUUGUGUUAACAAUGGCAGCCAGCAUUGAAAAUAAAGAGAUAUGCAGAAAGAUAAUCAGCCUCUGUGUCCGUGGAUCCUUUCUCUUAAUGUAUUUUUCAUGUCAGUCCUUCUUUUCAAAGAACCCUUACAAAAAAAGAUUGCAGUCAGAGUGAAAUAUAUUGACUCAGUACACUGGCCAAAAUAUCACAGUCGACUGCAGUUACUGCACUUUUACUGCAAUUUCAAAACUGCAACCGAUUUUUAUAAUCUGUAAUUGAGUAAAAUAAGUAGUUUUGGUCUGGUCACAAGAUAAUCCAGAAAAUUGUGGUAAACAGCAUCACACUCAGGCAGAACCUGAAUGUUCUAUUCUCAGCCAGGACCAUCUUUUAAAAGAAAACACAAUAUAAACAGAAUCUCUAUUUGAAAAAAAAUAACCGUUUUGUUGUGAUGACAAGAAAAUUCUAACAGAAUCAGGUACUGAUGUCAGACAGUCAGGCAUAAAAAUCUGAAUGUUCUAUCAUAAAGUGAAAACAAUUAUUUUCCCUGGCUGUUUUGUCACUACACACCAGACGUGAUCAGCACUCGCAGGUUGAAAUAUCAAAACAAACUCUGAACCAACUAUAUUAAUUUGGGGACAGGUCGAAAAACAUUCAACAUUUAUGGCAAUUUAAAUAGCUAGCUUGCUGUUUCUAGCUAAUUUGUCCUGGGACAGGGUCCUCUACUCUGUCAAUUAAUCCACAGAUAAAAGGGUAAAAGUUUGUUUUCUAGUUAUCCCUCCUCCUUCAGGCUGAUGCUGCUUCUUCUUCAGGCUGCUGCUGCUUCUUCUUCUUCUUCUUCUUCAGGCUGCUGCUUCUUCUUCUUCUUCUUCUUCUUCAGGCUGCUGCUUCUUCUUCUUCUUCAGGCUGCUGCUGCUUCUUCCUCAGGCUGCUGCUUCUUUUUCUUCUUCGGGCUGUUGCUUCUUCUUCUUCAGGCUGCUGCUUCUUCUUCUUCUUCUUCAGGCUGCUUCUGCUUCUUCUUCAGGCUGCUGCUUCUUCUUCUUCUUCUUCUUCUUCUUCAGGCUGCUUCUACUUCUUCAGGCUGCUUCUGCUUCUUCAGGCUGCUUCUGCUUCUUCUUCAGGCUGCUGAUUCUUCUUCUUUUUAUUCUUCAGGCUGCUUCUACUUCUUCUUCAGGCUGCUUUUACUUCUUCAGGCUGCUUCUGCUUCUUCAGGCUGCUUCUUCUUCUUCUUCUUCAGGCUGCUGCUUCUUCUUCUUUUUAUUCUUCAGGCUGCUUCUACUUCUUCUUCAGGCUGCUGCUUCUUCUUCUUUUUAUUCUUCAGGCUGCUUCUACUUCUUCUUCAGGCUGCUGCUUCUUCUUCUUUUUAUUAUUCAGGCUGUUUCUACUUCUUCUUUUUAUUCUUCAGGCUGCUUCUGCUUCUUCUUCAGGCUGCUGCUUCUUCUUCUUUUUAUUAUUCAGGCUGUUUCUACUUCUUAUUUUUAUUCUUCAGGCUGCUUCUACUUCUUCUUCAGGCUGCUGCUUCUUCUUCUUUUUAUUCUUCAGGCUGCUUCUACUUCUUCUUCAGGCUGCUUCUACUUCUUCUUUUUAUUCUUCAGGCUGCUUCUACUUCUUCUUCAGGCUGCUGCUUCUUCUUCUUUUUAUUAUUCAGGCUGCUUCUACUUCUUCUUUUUAUUCUUCAGGCUGCUUCUACUUCUUCUUCAGGCUGCUGCUUCUUCUUCUUUUUAUUCUUCAGGCUGCUUCUACUUCUUCUUCAGGCUGCUGCUUCUUCUUCUUCUUUUUAUUAUUCAGGCUGCUUCUGCUUCUUCUUCAGGCUGCUGCUUCUUCUUUUUAUUCUUUAGGCUGCUGCUUCUUCUUUUUAAUCUUCAGGCUGCUUCUGCUUCUUCUUCAGGCUGCUUCUGCUUCUUCUUCAGGCUGCUGCUGCUUCUUUUUCUUCUUCAGGCUGCUGCUGCUUCUUCCUCAGGCUGCUGCUUCUUCUUUUUCUUCUUCGAGCUGUUGCUGCUUCUUCUUCUUCAGGCUGCUGCUUCUUCUUCUUCUUCUUCUUCUUCAGGCUGCUGCUGCUUCUUCUUCUUCUUCUUCAGGCUGCUGCUGCUUCUUCCUCAGGCUGCUGCUUCUUUUUCUUCUUCGGGCUGUUGCUUCUUCUUCUUCAGGCUGCUGCUUCUUCUUCGUCUUCUUCAGGCUGCUGCUGCUUCUUCUUCUUCUUCUUCAGGCUGCUGCUGCUUCUUCCUCAGGCUGCUGCUUCUUUUUUUCUUUCGGGCUGUUGCUUCUUCUUCUUCAGGCUGCUGCUUCUUCUUCUUCUUCUUCAGGCUGCUUCUGCUUCUUCUUCAGGCUGCUGCUUCUUCUUCUUAUUAUUAUUAUUCUUCAGGCUGCUUCUACUUCUUCAGGCUGCUUCUGCUUCUUCAGGCUGCUUCUGCUUCUUCUUCAGGCUGCUGAUUCUUCUUUUUAUUCUUCAGGCUGCUUCUACUUCUUCUUCAGGCUGAUGCUUCUUCUUCUUUUUAUUCUUCAGGCUGCUUCUACUUCUUCUUCAGGCUGCUUUUACUUCUUCAGGCUGCUUCUGCUUCUUCAGGCUGCUUCUACUUCUUCUUCAGGCUGCUGCUUCUUCUUCUUUUUAUUCUUCAGGCUGCUUCUACUUCUUCUUCAGGCUGCUGCUUCUUCUUCUUUUUAUUCUUCAGGCUGCUUCUACUUCUUCUUCAGGCUGCUGCUUCUUCUUCUUUUUAUUAUUCAGGCUGUUUCUACUUCUUAUUUUUAUUCUUCAGGCUGCUUCUACUUCUUCUUCAGGCUGCUGCUUCUUCUUCUUUUUAUUCUUCAGGCUGCUUCUACUUCUUCUUCAGGCUGCUGCUUCUUCUUCUUUUUAUUCUUCAGGCUGCUUCUACUUCUUCUUCAGGCUGCUUCUACUUCUUCUUUUUAUUCUUCAGGCUGCUUCUACUUCUUCUUCAGGCUGCUGCUUCUUCUUCUUUUUAUUAUUCAGGCUGCUUCUACUUCUUCUUUUUAUUCUUCAGGCUGCUUCUACUUCUUCUUCAGGCUGCUGCUUCUUCUUUUUAUUCUUCAGGCUGCUUCUACUUCUUCUUCAGGCUGCUGCUUCUUCUUCUUCUUUUUAUUAUUCAGGCUGCUUCUGCUUCUUCUUCAGGCUGCUGCUUCUUCUUUUUAUUCUUUAGGCUGCUGCUUCUUCUUUUUAAUCUUCAGGCUGCUUCUGCUUCUUCUUUUUAUUCUUUAGGCUGCUGCUUCUUCUUUUUCUUCUUCAGGCUGCUGUUUCUUUUUCAGGCUGCUGCUUCUUCUUCUUCAGGCUGCUGCUGCUUCUUCUUCAGGCAGCUGCUUCCUCUGCUUCUUCUUCAGGCUGCUGCUUCUUCUUUUUCUUCUUCGGGCUGUUGCUUCUACUUCUUCAGGCUGCUUCUUCUUUUUCUUCUUCUUCAGGCUGCUUCUGCUACUUCUUCAGGCUGCUGCUUCUUCUUUUUAUUCUUCAGGCUGCUUCUGCUUCUUCUUCAGGCUGCUUCUGCUUCUUCUUCAGGCUGCUGAUUCUUCUUUUUAUUCUUCAGGCUGCUUCUACUUCUUCUUCAGGCUGCUUCUUCUUCUUCUUUUUAUUCUUCAGGCUGUUUCUGCUUCUUCUUCUUCUUUUUAUUCUUUAGGCUGCUACUUCUUCUUUUUAAUCUUCAGGCUGCUUCUGCUUCUUCUUCUUUUUAUUCUUUAGGCUGCUGCUUCUUCUUUUUAAUCUUCAGGCUGCUUCUGCUUCUUCUUCAGGCUGCUGCUUCUUCUUCUUCUUUUUAUUCUUCAGGCUGCUGCUUCUUCUUUUUAAUCUUCAGGCUGCUUCUGCUUCUUCUUCAGGCUGCUGCUGCUUCUUCUUCUUUUUAUUCUUCAGGCUGCUUCUUCUUCUUCUUCUUUUUAUUCUUCAGGCUGCUUCUAGUUCUUCUUCAGGCUGCUGCUUCUUCUUCUUCUUUUUAUUCUUCAGGCUGUUUCUGCUUCUUCUUCAGGCUGCUGCUUCUUCUUUUUAUUCUUUAGGCUGCUACUUCUUCUUUUUAAUCUUCAGGCUGCUUCUGCUUCUUCUUCAGGCUGCUGCUUCUUCUUCUUCUUUUUAUUCUUCAGGCUGCUUCUGCUUCUUCUUUUUAUUCUUCAGGCUGCUUCUGCUUCUUCUUUUUAUUCUUCAGGCUGCUUCUGCUUCUUCUUUUUAUUCUUCAGUCUGCUUCUGCUUCUUCUUUUUAUUCUUCAGGCUUCUUCUGCUUCUUCUUUUUAUUCUUCAGGCUUCUUCUGCUUCUUCUUUUUAUUCUUCAGGCCGCUUCUGCUUCUUCUUCUUCUUCUUCUUUUUAUUCUUCAGGCUGCUGCUUCUUCUUCUUCUUCUUCUUCUUCUUUUUAUUCUUCAGGCCGCUUCUGCUUCUUCUUCUUCUUCUUUUUAUUCUUCAGGCUGCUGCUUCUUCUUCUUCUUCUUUUUAUUCUGGUGGUUGGCAACCAACUUCAAGCUGCGUUACCACUACAGACUGGACUGGAGCAUAGACCUCAGUUCAUCUUUCAAUCACCAACGUGGGUAUAUGCUCCUAAAAACCAAUGAGGAGAUGGGAAAGGUGUUAAGCGUUAAGCGUCACAAAUAGAACCACGUUAGCGUCUGGCUAUGCAGAUGCUCUUUUACAUGCGUGAGCAGUGUGAGUGUAAUGAUUGAAUAACAUGUAUGUGUACAUUUAUUUUGCAACUCUCGCGCACAGGACACGAGCGGUGUGGUCUGGUCAGGAUAGAAACAAUAACGACAGGUGUGAUGGAAACAGGAAGAAUUGUAUUGUAUAAAUGCCGACAGAUAACUUAUUUGUUCAACAUGGUGGGAUAUUUGGUGCCGGUAAAAUUAAUGAUAUGAGAAAU
ensembl:lncRNA